rnacentral:rRNA from 1 species
CAGCAGCCGCGGUAACACGAAGGGUGCAAGCGUUAAUCGGAAUUACUGGGCGUAAAGCGUGCGUAGGCGGUUUGUUAAGUCUGCUGUGAAAUCCCCGGGCUCAACCUGGGAAUGGCAGUGGAUACUGGCAAGCUAGAGUGUGUCAGAGGAUGGUGGAAUUCCCGGUGUAGCGGUGAAAUGCGUAGAGAUCGGGAGGAACAUCAGUGGCGAAGGCGGCCAUCUGGGACAACACUGACGCUGAGGCACGAAAGCGUGGGGAGCAAACAGGAUUAGAUACCCGCGUAGUCCCUGUCUCUUAUAC